AUUUAAGGUCUCUUCUGAACAGCACAUUUAAGUUCAGUCCUAGCUGAUAGCAGUAUCAGUUACUAAAAGCUGCUGGCAUCCUGAUAAACUAUGUGAAAUACAUUUGGUGAUCUCAGUCCAAUUUACAUUGCCAGAUGAAUAUUUCUCUUUUUUUUUUUUUUUUCUUUUUUUUUUCCAGAGGCAUGAAGUUCUCACCAAAUUGAGGUACUCUCUGGCAUCCUUCUUGGAAAUCUCAGUGUGGAACAAGCAGACAGACCUUGACUGUCUAAUAAAACUGAAAGGCACUUGCUUCAUUUCGAUCCAUUUUGAUGGAAGUCUCUGUGUGAAAGAUGCAAGCAACGCAGUGCAUUCUGCGAUCACAGCUGUCAGGAAGAGCAACCACAAUCUCUCGUCUAAGAAUCAUCAUCUGUUUUUGUGCUGUUACUGCUUGCCUCCCCUUUUGUUCCAGGUGAGUUGUUAAUUUACUCACAGAGCUCAAAGACCAGCUACGUGCUCAGCUGUUUGUUGGUGGUGGGUUGAUUUUUUUUUUAUUGUUGUUUUU
rnacentral:lncRNA from 1 species